GAAAAUAAUGAGGGACUUGCAAACAAGAAUUAUUUUUCCUAUUAUGAUAAAUUACUGUGAUUUUCUUUAUUUUGUUUCGUCAAACUACAAUGUAUGUAUAGAAAUUAAAUACCUCAAGUGGCCUUCAUACAAGAUUCGAAAUGUAAAGUAUUUGACUAUUUUGAAACUUUUGUAUAUAUACGGCGGAAAACUCAGAUGAAAUUUUUCGGCACGAAGAUUGCGAUUUGAAAUACAAAUGUGACAUUUCUGAUCAAUGGAAUAGUAUCUAUUCCCAGUGGUUCUUGCCUGUAAUAUGAAUUUACAUAACAUGGUGGUUUUAAACCUUGAUUUUAUAUGCAAAUGGCCUUGAAAUUCUAUCCCAUCCAAGGUUACUCAUGUACGUUUCUCUCUUGAAGAAAAAAUGUGUCAAUAUCUGUUUUAGAAACAUCAAAAAUAACUUUGUACCCCUGUUUUAGCCCUCCCAAGAGACCCAGAUGCUAUAGAACCUGUUGGUCUUGAGAAGAAACAUUUUCACUUUCUAUUCCUAUGUUGAAAUUUAAUCUUUUAGCAAGGUUGUGUAAACAUUAAGAUGCUUUUAUGAAAAUUGAAAUAAGAUGUAUUUUAUUACAUGUAGGUUAAAAUGAAAAUAUGCCAGCUCUUAAAUUAUCUCUCUUUGUUUUAGAUCACAGACAAAUAUGAAAAGAGGAAAAAGAACUUCAAAUGAAGUUGCGGAUACCUCGUCCAAAUGGAACUAUCCUGAUAAAGAAUCUGAAGUUGUAGGUGCAGGAAUUGAAAGAUUCUACCGAAGAUCAUCUAAUUUCUUAAUCAAAAAAUGCAUAGUGUA